UAGAGUUUGAUCAUGGCUCAGAUUGAACGCUGGCGGCAGGCCUAACACAUGCAAGUCGAGCGGUAACAUAUCUAGCUUGCUAGAUGAUGACGAGCGGCGGACGGGUGAGUAAUGCUUGGGGAUCUGCCUUAGAGUGGAGGAUAACCAUUGGAAACGAUGGCUAAUACUGCAUAGUAUCUGCGGAUUAAAGGGGGCUUCGGCUCUUGCUUUAAGAUGAACCCAAGUGGGAUUAGCUAGUUGGUGAGGUAAUGGCUCACCAAGGCGACGAUCCCUAGCUGGUCUGAGAGGAUGAUCAGCCACACUGGAACUGAGACACGGUCCAGACUCCUACGGGAGGCAGCAGUGGGGAAUAUUGCACAAUGGGCGAAAGCCUGAUGCAGCCAUGCCGCGUGUGUGAAGAAGGCCCUAGGGUUGUAAAGCACUUUCAGUCAGGAGGAAAGGUUAGUAGUUAAUACCUGCUAGCUGUGACGUUACUGACAGAAGAAGCACCGGCUAACUUCGUGCCAGCAGCCGCGGUAAUACGAGGGGUGCAAGCGUUAAUCGGAAUUACUGGGCGUAAAGCGAGCGUAGGCGGCUGAAUAAGCUGGAUGUGAAAAACCGGGGCUCAACCUCGGCCGUGCAUUCAGAACUGUUUAGCUAGAGUCCUGUAGAGGGGGGUAGAAUUUCA
rnacentral:rRNA from 1 species